rnacentral:rRNA from 1 species
CGGUGGAGCAUGUGGUUUAAUUCGACGCAACGCGAAGAACCUUACCUGGGCUCGAAAUGUACAGGACAGCGGUAGAAAUACCGUCUCCCAGCAAUGGGUCUGUAUAUAGGUGCUGCAUGGCUGUCGUCAGCUCGUGUCGUGAGAUGUUGGGUUAAGUCCCGCAACGAGCGCAACCCUUAUCUCUAGUUGCUACCAUUUAGUUGAGCACUCUAGCGAAACCGCCUCGGAUAACGGGGAGGAAGGUGGGGAUGACGUCAAGUCCUCAUGGCCUUUAUGUCCAGGGCUACACACGUGCUACAAUGGCCGGUACAAACCGCUGCAACCCCGCGAGGGUGAGCUAAUCGGAAAAAGCCGGCCUCAGUUCGGAUUGGAGUCUGCAACUCGACUCCAUGAAGCUGGAAUCGCUAGUAAUCGUGGAUCAGCAUGCCAC